rnacentral:rRNA from 1 species
AUACGUAGGUGCCAAGCGUUAUCCGGAUUUACUGGGCGUAAAGGGCGUGUAGGUGGUCUUGCAAGUCAGAAGUGAAAUUCCUGAGCUCAACUCGGGCGCUGCUUCUGAAACUGCAGGACUUGAGUGCUGGAGGGGAUAGCGGAAUUCCUAGUGGAGCGGUAAAAUGCGCAGAUAUUAGGAAGAACACCGGUGGCGAAGGCGGCUAGCUGUACAGUAACUGACGCUGAGGCGAGAGAGCGUGGGGAGCAAACAGGAUUAGAUCCCCUGGUAGUCCACGCCGUAAACGAUGAAUACUAGGUGUAGGGGGUAUCGACUCCCUCUGUGCCGCAGUUAACACAAUAAGUAUUCCGCCUGGGGAGUACGGCCGCAAGGUUGAAACUCAAAUGAAUUGGCGGGG